rnacentral:rRNA from 1 species
GACGAAGGUGGCAAGCGUUAUUCGAAAUCACUGGGCUUAAAGGGUGCGUAGGCGGAACUGUAAGUGUCAUGUGAAAUCCCUCGGCUUAACCGAGGAAUGGCUUGGCAAACUACAGUUCUUGAGGCAAGUAGGGGUGUGUGGAACUCUUGGUGGAGCGGUGGAAUGCGUAGAUAUCAAGAGGAACGCCGAAGGUGAAGACAGCACACUGGACUUGUUCUGACGCUGAGGCACGAAAGCGUGGGGAGCGAACAGGAUUAGAUACCCCCGUA